GUCACUAGUCUACAAGUACAUCUUAGAUGCCUGUAUGUUAGCAUCCCUUCUAAAUAGAGGACCUGACUAUUUAUCUGUCUUCUAGAGUUAACCCAACCAGCUGUUGCUAUUGUUGUUAAGUAAAAUCAUCGAGACCUAGCAAGAGCUUAGUGGUAGGCCAUGCAAGUUCAUAGAAUGGUAUGAGGACAAAGUAUGUGUCCUGAAGAUAAUGCAAAC